rnacentral:rRNA from 1 species
GACGAACGCUGGCGGCGUGCCUAAUACAUGCAAGUUGAGCGCUGAAGGUUGGUACUUGUACCAACUGGAUGAGCAGCGAACGGGUGAGUAACGCGUGGGGAAUCUGCCUUUGAGCGGGGGACAACAUUUGGAAACGAAUGCUAAUACCGCAUAAAAACUUUAAACACAAGUUUUAAGUUUGAAAGAUGCAAUUGCAUCACUCAAAGAUGAUCCCGCGUUGUAUUAGCUAGUUGGUGAGGUAAAGGCUCACCAAGGCGAUGAUACAUAGCCGACCUGAGAGGGUGAUCGGCCACAUUGGGACUGAGACAAGGCCCAAACGCCUACGGGAGGCAGCAGUAGGGAAUCUUCGGCAAUGGACGAAAGUCUGACCGAGCAACGCCGCGUGAGUGAAGAAGGUUUUCGGAUCGUAAAACUCUGUUGGUAGAGAAGAACGUUGGUGAGAGUGGAAAGCUCAUCAAGUGACGGUAACUACCCAGAAAGGGACGGCUAACUACGUG